UGUGUGUUAGCUGGGAGGAGAGACAUGCAGUCACUUCCAGCUCUGUGAUGUAAUCUAUCGGGUGGCCCUAACAGCAUGGGCCACCCGACGGAUCCCUUGGACGGUGGCCCCGGCGGUUUGCCGCCCAGGCCGAGGCCACAAAUGGUGAUGGCGGUACCCGGUCGCAGGGGUACCGCCAGCUCGCACCCGUCCCCCACCCAAUCUCUCCAAAUGAGGAAUUCCCUACUGCCCACCUGGAAUCCUAAAACGCCCACUAGUGGGCGAUAGGGAGCAGGUUGACGACCGAUAAGUUAGAAAGUCCUUUCUGUUUUUAAGAAGAUUGUAGUUCAGCAAUGUCAGUUUGGAGUAAAGAGGUGAGAGUAAUCAAAGUUUGUUCCGAGUUCAGGGAAUAAAGAGUGCAGCAAUAUCGGUUUUGAUGGGACAGAGGUUCGGUACAC